ACUGCACUCCAAUCCUCUCUUUGGAACCUGCAACUGAAUAUUGCUCCUAAAUGGGAAGACUGUCUUGCAAGGGGACAACUGCCACAAUAUUGCCAAAAUGUAAGCUGAUUCACUUUAAGUGCAUAUUCACUUUCCAGAUCAUUUUGUUCUUUUCUGUUAUAUAUCUGAAAACCGGUUUCUUCUCUGACUUAUUUUAUUUAUUUUUAUUUGUCAGUAUUUUAUUCUUAUGAUUAUCAAUUUUUACUUUUUUGUGUAUUUAAGAUUUUUUGUAUUUUGAUGUUUAUAUUUGAGUGAUUUUAGACUUAAUUUUCACAUGAUUUUAGAUGUAUCUCUUUUCAAAGUGAUUUGUUGUUUGCUGUGGGGAUUUAUCUUUAGGUAUUGGGUGGUUGUUAUUUAUUUUGAAUCCAGUAGAUUCCCAGACAUGCAGGGUCAUGUCUAACUGGGCCACAAACUCUUUCUGCCUCUUGACAUUUUCAGGCAUAGACAACAGGCUCUUCACAGUGCACUGUGGAUGUCACAAAAUCCCCAUAAAUUGUCCUUAAAUUAUUGCCCAUGUUUUAUUAAAAAGUAUUAUUUAGGAAGUAACCUCUGAAAAGAAAGAACUCUUUUAAUUUUCUUUACUAAUAUUUAAAAAUUUAGUCCACAUAUAAAAGCAUGUCUGUCAUAUUAUGCCCCAAAUCCUCUUAUUGAGCAAUUGGAAAACAUAUUCCUAAGCUGAGGCUUACAGUCAUUGCUCGUUAUCUGCAGGGGUUGGUUUCAGGACCCCCACAGAUUCCAGCAUCUGACAAUGCUCAAGUCCCUGGUAUAAAGUGGCACAGCAUCUGCAUAUAAGCCAUGCCCGUGCUCCUGUGCACUUGAAAUCAUCUCAGAUCUCUCCUCAACCCCAUAGGCAGGAACUGCUAUGCAAAUAGUUGUUAUCCUCUCUGCCAGCCCCUACCUCCACCUACCUUGUCUUAUGCCUCUCUUCCAUGUGACUUUUCCUGAGCUGCAUUUUUUAAUAUGAAAUAAACCUGUACAUAUGAGUAGAGUGCUUUUCUGAGUUGUCUGAUUCAUUCUGGUGAACCUGAGGGAGGUGUUGUGGGAACUCCUGAAUUGGUAGUCUGCCAGGAAGAAGCCUCGGCAGCUAGGCCACCCCAUUGGUUGCUGGCAUCUAAGUGAGGACAGUGCUGUGGGACCGAGCACAUAAUCAUAGGCCUGCUGGCCAUUUGUAUGUCAUUUUUUGAGAAAUGUCUCUUCAGGUCAUUUGACCAUUUUUAAAGAGAUUAUUUUGUUUUGCUGUUGACUCGAGUUCCUUAUAUAGUCUGGAUAUUAAUUUCUCAUUCGAUGGAUAGUUUGCAAAUAUUUUCUCCCAUUCUAUAGGUCAUCUCGUCACUCCCUUGAUUCUUUGCUGUGCAGAAGUUUGUUAGCUUGUUUUGGUCCUAUUUAUGUAUUUUUGCUCUUCUCACCUAUGGUUUUUUUUAAAAAUCUCAGCCCAGACCAAUGUCUAGAGGAAUUUCUCAAUGUUUUCUUUUAGUAGUGUUAUAUUUUCAGGUUUUCCAUUAAAGUCUCUAAUCCAUCUGGAUUUGCAUUUUGCAUAUAAUAAGAGAUAGGGGCCCAGUUUUUUCUCUACCUUUGAAUGUUCAGUUUUCCCCUUAUUUAUUGAAGAGACUCUUCUUUCUUUAAUGUAUGUUCCUGGUGCAGGUAGGAACGGAGUGCUAGUAGGAGCUGGGUGCAUGGCUCGAGUAGGAGCAGGAGCAGAGUGCUGGUAGGAGCUGGGUGCACAGCACAGGUAGGAGUUGGGCACGGGUAGGAGUGGGGUGCUGGUAGAAGGUGGGUGCACGGCAUGGGUAUGUACGGAGUGCUAGUAGGAGCCGGAUGCAUGGCAUGGGUAGCAGCGGAGUGUCACCGCAUGCCUCCCUGGAGGACCUGUCGGGACUGUGGCCCCAAUGGCAGCCUGGCCCUGCCUCAAUGGCCUGGGCUCUGAACUGCAGGAUCUCACAGGUGGAAGAAACCUUGGAGACCCGCAGCCCCCAGGGCCAUGGUGGCUCCCAACAGGGGAGGGCCACCCAAAGCCCCCUCCCAUGGUGCCCUUGCCAAGGAGUCCCUGGAUGGGCCUGUUUAGACUCCUUUGAUGAUGGGGCCCCCAUGACCCCAGGACAGCCCUGACCAUCUCUUACUCACUGUUGACCUUCCUUCAGACCAGGAGAUGCACAAUAUUUGCCAAUAGGAAUCUCCCAUCUUCCCUUAAUUCAACUGUUUCACUGACAUCCCACAAGCACCACCCCCCAUCAGGUGCCCUUAACCUGUGUCCUCGACCCCAUUGACCUUCAGAAGGCCUCACCCAUCCAGUGGCUCCAUGGCAGAACAGGUCUCCCAGAGCCCAGGCCAUGGAGCAGAGCCUCCCGUGGCACCAACAGUGGCAGCAGUACCUGUGCAUGCUCCCAUGUCCUGAGCAUGGACUCUGGACAGAGCAAGGUCAGGCUGCAAGGCUGUCUUUAGUCAGGGCCUGACCCUAGGACAGUGUGGAAACACUGGAAUGGUUUCAGAAAGGG
rnacentral:lncRNA from 10 species